rnacentral:sRNA from 1 species
UUUUAAGGCGUAAGUUCGACUCUCAGGUCGGGAAUUUUUUGGUGGGACAUUUGAUACUACCACCUCAUAACUUUCAGUUGUUAGUUGGUUUCUCGUUGGUCUUUUUCGUAUGUUAAAGGAAAAAAAGAGUUCUCCCACGUCGUUAAAUUUUGGUGGGACAUUUAAUUAUAACCCCAUAACUACUACAAGACGCGUGUGACCCAUGUUGGUCUUUCUUUUAUGUUAAAAGAAAAGUGUAUUUUUGUAUGUCUGUUUGUGUUCAAUUAACAAUCAACAAUCAACAAUCAACAAUCAACAAUCGUCAGUCAUUUUUGGCUAUAGAACUUUUACCACCGGGAU